rnacentral:tRNA from 1 species
CUUAUUCAUAGGGGGGGCCUUACCCUCUCCCCCAAAUACGGGGAGAAGGGUGAAAGCCAUUGUGCAAGUUAAUAAUAUACGUC